GGCUCAGUGGUCUAGUGGUAUGAUUCUCGCUUUGGGUGCGAGAGGUCUCGGUUUGGGUGCGAGAGGUCCCGGUUUCGAUCACGGGCUGAGCCC
rnacentral:tRNA from 1 species